CUCGCCCACAGCCCCUCGGCUCGGCGGCUCCGGGGCUCCCGGAGACUGCCCGGUCGCACCGCCCGGGUGGCCGCCCCCCGCCGGCAGAACCCCCCCUGCCCCACCGCAGGCCUUGGGCAGCUCGGGCCUCACGCACGGGCCUCGCCGCGGCCUUGGCGGUUCCCGCCCGGCUGUCCCGGCACCUGCCUUGUGCCCGGCCGUGUGGAUGAGCCGUGCAGACCCUAUUUCCCGCUGCGGCUCAUUUCCUUCCCGGGGGCAGGGACCGAGCUGGCGCUGCUCCGCCGGGGGUGACGCAGCUGUGGCACCUCCGCCCAGCACCGAGCGGGGCUGUAACCCGGCCUGGGCACCGCUGGAUAACCCGGCCUGGGCACCGCUGGAUAACCCGGUCUGGCACCGCUGGAUAACCCGGCCUGGGCACCGCUGUAUAACCCGACCUGGCACCGCUGUAUAACCCGGCCUGGGCACCCCUGUAUAAUCAGACCCUGAACACCCCUGUAACCCAGCUCUGGGCACCACUGUAUAAUCCAACCCUCGACACCCCUGUAUAAUCCGACCCUGGGCACCCCUGUAUAACCCCACCCUGGGCACCCCUGGAUAAUCUGACCCUGGGUACCCCUGCCCGUGCUGCAGGAGCGUUGGUUUGGUGCUCUUUGCACCUCGCUGGCACGUCUUGGACCCCGCUGGCAGCUGAGUGGACGUGCACGGCCUCUGCACAAAGUGUCUUUGAGAAAACGCGCGACAGGUUCCAGGUUUGACAUGUGGCCAUCAAAGCGACACAUCCACAAUGCGGCCUCUUGGAAACUGUCGCUGUUCUGGAACGCUCAAAGAGCACCGAGAUCAUAAAAGAUAUUUUUCAUCUUCAGUUACUGAUCUGUUCCAUUUUUUUUUUCCUAUGGAUUUUGUGGACUUGAACCACAGGGGUUCCUAUUUUUCUUUAAGAUUUAAAAACUUUGACAAGAACAAAUGUCCUCCUGUGAAGUUCGACCAAAAACAUGAACAGGCCACAGUCACUGGCAGAAACAGCUACAAUCCCUCACACUACAUAUAUCAGCAAUGAAAUGAUCCUGCCCCAGUAUAUGAGCCCUUCUAGCAAGAAAAUCACUGCCAGCCUCCCUAUAUUUGUAUAGUUAGUAGUGUUUGUAUAGUUAGUGCCUUUCGGAAGCAAGCUCUCAUAUCUGAAAUGUUAUAAACCGGUUUCUGUUUAUUUAUAGCUUUUACCAGAGAGUCAAACGGAGGAGAAUAAAUAACAGAAAAGAAUAAUCGGGGAAAAGUUUGAGAGAACAGAACGUUUUUAAAGAUCUGACAAAUCUGAGAGACAAAGAAGCAUUCUCCAUCUCAUGACGUGUCCCGUGACUCCCCGCCCCACGGGAGGUACUAGGCGUUCCCACCUGAGCCCGAAUGUAUGUAACUCGUGAGAUCUUUGAGUUUUGAGGGGAGGAGGGGGCUUCCCCCAACCGAUCAAGACCAACACUUGGACAGGACUGCGACCACCAUCUUCAACCAACAGAACAUUGAAGGUGCAACUACCAAGUUUCAUCGCUGGAUCCAGCGAGUGCUGACAACAUAUAUCUUUCCAUUUUUAUCCUUUCUUUCUCUUCCUUAUAAAUUUCCUUAAGUGUUACUUUUAUGCUUUAAUAUUGCUGUAUUACUUUAGAUGAUAAGAAGCAAAACGGCUACACACCUGUUUUCCUUUGAAACAAAACUGCUCUAAAAUAAACCCUACAUAUAUAUUUCCAAA